rnacentral:tRNA from 1 species
UGUCAUCCCCAGGAUUCGAACCUGCGCCCUCCAAGGACUGCGACCUGAACGCAGCGCCUUUGACCACUCGGCUAGAAUGAU